rfam:Musa acuminata subsp. malaccensis Doubled-haploid Pahang (DH-Pahang) genomic chromosome, chr5
UUAGUGCCUAUGAUGGUUUUAAAUAUACUACGAGUGACUACAAUGAUAAGGACUUUAUCUGAGGCACAAU